rnacentral:lncRNA from 1 species
GUUCGUCGGUCCUCCAUCACCUUGGCCACCCAUCCUGACGCUUGAGAAGCAGAGACCAAUAACUGUUUCCUCAGAGGCAGUGGAAAGCUAAGAAGCUGUCCCCCACGAAUUGAGAAGCAAAGCAAGCCUGCUGUGAGGAUACACGAAUAGCUUCACACCGAUUCGACCCACAAACAGAGCACAGAAGGCGCAAGAACAACACAUGAUCCAUCUCGUGGAAUCUCUCCAACUUAUACACGAGCUCCAUGCCUGCGCAACGCUAAUCAGAAGCCUCCGAGUCUACAAUGCGAGAAACAGGAGAUGGAUUGUGCGGACACCAAGGCUGUGUCUGCAAGCCAGUGUGAGAGGCACUGGCAGCGAGGAAGAUGGAGAGAAGAUCACGUGUCGGCAGGCAUUGAACGAGGUCGAGGGGGGUUGAGAAGGAGUGUGCGGUAGAGGUCGCAGACUUGGUGGGAUUGUGAGAUGGGAAGAGCUGCCAAUCUCCAUGCAGUUUCGUUGUGAAAUCCUUGUCGGUACAUUUCCACGACGAAGUCGCGACUGGGCAGGCGCGUGGAGGGUGGCGGUGGAGUUCUGUAGACCCGCCCUCCAGCACGGGAAGUCUGUGCAAUCGGAACUUCCAUUGCUUUCCUGAUAUCAUUGAAGAGGUGCUUUUGCCAGGCGAAUCCCAUCCAUGAAAAGACUCUUUCACCGGGGAAGUGUGUAAGUUUGUACUCGUUUGCUUAUAUAUAUUAAUAUUCUGUGUGUAGUGUGAUGAAUGGUUUUCGAUGUCUUAUAUGUUUUUUGAUAAAUCAUAAUUUUAGUAUCACACACAUACUGUACUGUUAUGUUUUUUCUUGGAAAACGCGCGUAAAAGAAUAGAAUGUGAGAUGCUUACGAGUAAAAUUCAUAGAAGGCUCAAAUGUUUAGUAGUGAAAACACACUUCGUUUACAUAAUUAAUGAGACGUAUUUCAUAAAUGUAUGGAGAAUAAUUUAACAGAGAAAACUUGCUCAUUUGUUUUAGUUUUAAAACGUACUAUUCUACCUGGACAGGUUUGGGAUAUAGUUUCGUGAAAAUAUUUUGGGUAUUAAUAAUGUAGUAGGGGUUGGGACUUGGAACAACAUGGUUUUUAGUUUUAAUGGUUGAAAGUUGAAUUUUAUUUUUUUAUAAGAAUUACGUUACAGAAUAUCAAGUAAAAAUUUAGCUACUCUAUGUUUCUUACGCCAUUACUGAA